rnacentral:rRNA from 1 species
GCAGUCGAACGAAGUAGCAAUACUUAGUGGCAGACGGGUGAGUAACAUGUGGGUAUCUACCCUUUGGCCUGGAAUAACACGAGGAAACUUGUGCUAAUACCGGAUAAGUCUUUACGGAGAAAGCUUUAUGCACCAUUGGAUGAGCCCGCACUUGAUUAGUUUGUUGGUAGGGUAAUGGCCUACCAAGACUAUGAUCAAUAGCUGAUUUGAGAGGAUGAUCAGCCACAUUGGGACUGAGACACGGCCCAAACUCCUACGGGAGGCAGCAGUGGGGAAUCUUGCACAAUGGAGGAAACUCUGAUGCAGCGAUGCCGCGUGAGUGAAGAAGGCCUUUGGGUUGUAAAGCUCUUUCGUCGGGGAAGAAAAUGACUGUACCCGAAUAAGAAGGUCCGGCUAACUUCGUGCCAGCAGCCGCGGUAAUACGAAGGGACCUAGCGUAGUUCGGAAUUACUGGGCUUAAAGAGUUCGUAGGUGGUUGAAAAAGUUGGUGGUGAAAUCCCAGAGCUUAACUCUGGAACUGCCAUCAAAACUUUUCAGCUAGAGUAUGAUAGAGGAAAGCAGAAUUUCUAGUGUAGAGGUGAAA